GUAAAAUUACUUUUAUGGGAUUAUAAGAUGAUAGCAGCCAUACUAUGGCUAGUGUCUGUUUAUUCACAGUCAGGCCCAGUUUGGUGAACUUGGCUGUUUGCAGAGAUUUCCUAAUGAGCCAGUAGCUCCCACCAAGCGCUAACGACAAUGAUCAACAACAAUCUGCUAAUUUAGAGUAAACACUUUAAACAUCCUCCAUUAAGCCAACUAAUACACUUUAAGCAUGACCUCAAGGUUUCACUGCAGUUGGCAGCAAGACUUUGGUAAGAAUCUUUGGCUCCCUGUAAAUUGUGGCAAAGUGCCCUAGUUUGGAUCACAGUCUCCCUCCACACACAUGAAUACAGCCAAAUAUAUCUUCAAAGGAUCCACCAAACGCUAUUCCAUCAAGGAUAUCAUUUUCACACAGUCCUUGGAAACUUGCCUUGUACGUGCUUAUAAUAGAUCACGCAGUUAAUAUACACAUGCGUUUUGAAUGAC